rnacentral:lncRNA from 1 species
GAGCCGGACGCAGGCGUGCCUGCGCAGUGCGCGGAGGAGUGCUGUUCGUGUGUUCGAGUCCCUGGGUUGCUUCCUGGGGUCUGUGGUGCUGGGUGUGCUAUCUGCGUGUGAUUCUCUAGCGAGAGAUUGUGGGCGAGUGACCGAGUGGGCAAGGGGCCGUCACUGUGUGUGCGUGAUUUUGACAGUGUGUGGUGGUAGCUUCUGACUCCGCGUGGGUCGUUGAAUGUAUGACUGGGACCGUUUAGCGGUGGAUACACAACUGUGUGCGGCUGUGGAAGAUUGCCUCAUCCGUUACGUUCCCAUUUCCGUGGAACAACAGUUUUACCAGAAGGUUUCGAAGGAACCUUAAAGUUUGGAAGCGUAAGAGUUUAUCUGGCGGCUUUGGUGUCAUCAAAUGUGAGAAGCCCUGGACUUUACACAUCCCGAGCCAGUGUGAUCCAGUAUGAUUGGGAGUCCGAGUGCCAGAUGCCGGUCAGGACCUGUUAUGCUGGGUCUCAGAAUGCGGAAACUCUCCCUGUCCGAGGUGGAACAGUUUGUCCUUGAGUGAGGACUGGAGUCCUGAGUGACUCUUUUGAUUUGAUCCUGUUUCCCUCAAACCUGAGAUGGGAGCCUCACUGUAUUGCCCAGGCUGGUCUUGAACUCCGGAGCUCAAGUGAUCGUCUUGCUUCAGCCUUGCAAAAUGAUGGUGAAGCUGCAUCAUUGUCUGGGGUAAAUACCUGAGGUUCGUUGUCUCACGCCAAGGGAAUCAAGGACGUGGACACACAAGAAAUGGAGUCCCUGUCUGACCGGGCCAUGUUGUAUGUUCCUUGCUGUACACGUGGUUGACAAAGAAAAGGGAAGAUGGAGCUGCGAUGUUGGACAUGCCUGGCCCCCAGGUAGCUUUUUCCUAUUGGCACAGCUGCUGGCAUUCACCCGUGCAAACUUCCAGCUUGCUUAUCUAUGUCUGCAGCUUGAUUUUUCAGGCUGCUGUUUGUUAGAAAAGAAAUGACUUGGGGGCUGCUUUUCAUUAAAAGGAAAACCUUACCGGGGAUUUCCUUACCCUCACUAUCUGCCUAAAUAAUUUCUUUUUAACUCCUAUGUCACUUGGGAUUACAGGCAUGAGCCGCUGUGCCUGCUAGAGGGUUUUUUAUCUUUAUUCCUCAAGAUUUUGCAUUUAGAUAAUUAUGUUAAACUUGGGUGUGCUAGGUAGACAUACGUCUGCUGAUUACCUGUUUAGGAAGAAUGUGGAUUCGUACGUAGGGAAAAGGAGUCAGGCUGGUGGGACCAGGGGAAAGCAAAGAGAUAAAGCAAAUAAGCUAUAGAUCUGCAUUUUCUUCAUGGUCCAGGAUAUAUAAACAAAAAAAGGAAGCAGAUAAGCUAUAGGCUUGCUUUUCUUUAUGACCCAGGACAUACAGCCCUGCCGAGCAAAUAAUGAACGUAACUCACAAACUUCCUGCUUAUCAUCAAACGCACGCAUCCACUUAUCAUCAAACACCUCGGGUGACAGAAGAAUGCAGGUCAGCUCCCUGCUGCCUUGGCAUUAUCAAUCAGCCCAGGAACCAUCCUAUAAAAUCUCCAGCAAGCCUUUGUUUCCUUGCAGUCAGCUCCUCUUCCACUGAUUCUGCCUGUUGCUCCCUGAUAACAUACUUUGAUACUGUCUUUAAUAAAUCUGCCUUUCUU